GACGAACGCUGGCGGCGUGCUUAACACAUGCAAGUCGAACGGAAAGGCCUCUUUCGGGGGGUACUCGAGUGGCGAACGGGUGAGUAACACGUGAGUAACCUGCCCUUGACUUUGGGAUAACUUCAGGAAACUGGGGCUAAUACCGGAUAGGAGCUCCUGCUGCAUGGUGGGGGUUGGAAAGUUUCGGCGGUUGGGGAUGGACUCGCGGCUUAUCAGCUUGUUGGUGGGGUAGUGGCUUACCAAGGCUUUGACGGGUAGCCGGCCUGAGAGGGUGACCGGCCACAUUGGGACUGAGAUACGGCCCAGACUCCUACGGGAGGCAGCAGUGGGGAAUAUUGCACAAUGGGUGGAAGCCGGAUGCAGCAACGCCGUGUGCGGGAUGACGGCCUUCGGGUUGUAAACCGCCUUCGCUCAUGACGAAGCUUUGUGUGACGGUAGUGGGUAAAGAAGCACCGGCUAACUACGUG
rnacentral:rRNA from 1 species